rnacentral:lncRNA from 1 species
GACAAUGACAGAACAAUCUGCUGCUAUUCAGAAGAUGGUGCGUGUAAACAGUUCAUUUGCUAUGAAAUUGAUCUUGAGGUUCAGGUCUGACAUCACCGACCCUUGCUAAUCUGAAAUGAAACCCUAAUUAAACAGCUAAUCUGAAAUUCCAUUUGUUUCGAUUGGAUUUUAGCGGAAUGUACUUUGCAGCUUCAGAGGAGACGUUUCCGUUUUCAUCCAACGGUACCACAGCUGCUAACGUUGUUCUAUAUUUCUUCCCAGUUUCCAUCCCCAAAAGACCGAAUCGGAAUACAGUCACCAACCUCAAUUUUAGCAGGACACCAGCCUCACUUGCAUUCCAACCAUCCCCGCUAAAGAACUCCCACCACUGGAUGCUCUGACUAUGUUGGAGGUAGAAAGAACCGAAUGUCUUGCCGUCGAUAACAUGCUCCGCCCGAGCAUUGCUACAUGUAGACAACAUUAACUCCAUACCGAAGUAUCGAAUGCCGAAUUUCUUGUUGUUGUUCACCACGUCCAGACCAAAUGAGAAGUUUCUGUGAGAAUCGUCGACGGAAAAACUGUAGACUGUGACAAUUGGAUCGGAAGGACGGAUGGCGAUGUAGAUGAAGAAGAAGAGAAGGAUGAAGACGGCGAUGACUUGGAGAAUCCACAUCAAGAAGUAUGUUUUAGGUUGCUCGUCGGACAUUGCAUUUGAGCGCGGCGGUUACUUGAUCUUCGGAUUUGUAACUUCCCACUUAUGUGUAUGUACAUCAGUACGUGUGUAGAUUUACAUCCUCAUGGGAAAACUAUUGUGAAUUUAUAAU